GGUUAAGCGACUAAGCGUACACGGUGGAUGCCCUGGCAGUCAGAGGCGAUGAAGGACGUGCUAAUCUGCGAUAAGCGUCGGUAAGGUGAUAUGAACCGUUAUAACCGGCGAUUUCCGAAUGGGGAAACCCAGUGUGUUUCGACACACUAUCAUUAACUGAAUCCAUAGGUUAAUGAGGCGAACCGGGGGAACUGAAACAUCUAAGUACCCCGAGGAAAAGAAAUCAACCGAGAUUCCCCCAGUAGCGGCGAGCGAACGGGGAGCAGCCCAGAGCCUGAAUCAGUGUGUGUGUUAGUGGAAGCGUCUGGAAAGGCGCGCGAUACAGGGUGACAGCCCCGUACACAAAAAUGCACAUGCUGUGAGCUCGAUGAGUAGGGCGGGACACGUGGUAUCCUGUCUGAAUAUGGGGGGACCAUCCUCCAAGGCUAAAUACUCCUGACUGACCGAUAGUGAACCAGUACCGUGAGGGAAAGGCGAAAAGAACCCCGGCGAGGGGAGUGAAAAAGAACCUGAAACCGUGUACGUACAAGCAGUGGGAGCACGCUUAGGCGUGUGACUGCGUACCUUUUGUAUAAUGGGUCAGCGACUUAUAUUCUGUAGCAAGGUUAACCGAAUAGGGGAGCCGAAGGGAAACCGAGUCUUAACUGGGCGUUAAGUUGCAGGGUAUAGACCCGAAACCCGGUGAUCUAGCCAUGGGCAGGUUGAAGGUUGGGUAACACUAACUGGAGGACCGAACCGACUAAUGUUGAAAAAUUAGCGGAUGACUUGUGGCUGGGGGUGAAAGGCCAAUCAAACCGGGAGAUAGCUGGUUCUCCCCGAAAGCUAUUUAGGUAGCGCCUCGUGAAUUCAUCUCCGGGGGUAGAGCACUGUUUCGGCAAGGGGGUCAUCCCGACUUACCAACCCGAUGCAAACUGCGAAUACCGGAGAAUGUUAUCACGGGAGACACACGGCGGGUGCUAACGUCCGUCGUGAAGAGGGAAACAACCCAGACCGCCAGCUAAGGUCCCAAAGUCAUGGUUAAGUGGGAAACGAUGUGGGAAGGCCCAGACAGCCAGGAUGUUGGCUUAGAAGCAGCCAUCAUUUAAAGAAAGCGUAAUAGCUCACUGGUCGAGUCGGCCUGCGCGGAAGAUGUAACGGGGCUAAACCAUGCACCGAAGCUGCGGCAGCGACACUAUGUGUUGUUGGGUAGGGGAGCGUUCUGUAAGCCUGUGAAGGUGUGCUGUGAGGCAUGCUGGAGGUAUCAGAAGUGCGAAUGCUGACAUAAGUAACGAUAAAGCGGGUGAAAAGCCCGCUCGCCGGAAGACCAAGGGUUCCUGUCCAACGUUAAUCGGGGCAGGGUGAGUCGACCCCUAAGGCGAGGCCGAAAGGCGUAGUCGAUGGGAAACAGGUUAAUAUUCCUGUACUUGGUGUUACUGCGAAGGGGGGACGGAGAAGGCUAUGUUGGCCGGGCGACGGUUGUCCCGGUUUAAGCGUGUAGGCUGGUUUUCCAGGCAAAUCCGGAAAAUCAAGGCUGAGGCGUGAUGACGAGGCACUACGGUGCUGAAGCAACAAAUGCCCUGCUUCCAGGAAAAGCCUCUAAGCAUCAGGUAACAUCAAAUCGUACCCCAAACCGACACAGGUGGUCAGGUAGAGAAUACCAAGGCGCUUGAGAGAACUCGGGUGAAGGAACUAGGCAAAAUGGUGCCGUAACUUCGGGAGAAGGCACGCUGAUAUGUAGGUGAAGCGACUUGCUCGUGGAGCUGAAAUCAGUCGAAGAUACCAGCUGGCUGCAACUGUUUAUUAAAAACACAGCACUGUGCAAACACGAAAGUGGACGUAUACGGUGUGACGCCUGCCCGGUGCCGGAAGGUUAAUUGAUGGGGUCAGCGCAAGCGAAGCUCUUGAUCGAAGCCCCGGUAAACGGCGGCCGUAACUAUAACGGUCCUAAGGUAGCGAAAUUCCUUGUCGGGUAAGUUCCGACCUGCACGAAUGGCGUAAUGAUGGCCAGGCUGUCUCCACCCGAGACUCAGUGAAAUUGAACUCGCUGUGAAGAUGCAGUGUACCCGCGGCAAGACGGAAAGACCCCGUGAACCUUUACUAUAGCUUGACACUGAACAUUGAGCCUUGAUGUGUAGGAUAGGUGGGAGGCUUUGAAGUGUGGACGCCAGUCUGCAUGGAGCCGACCUUGAAAUACCACCCUUUAAUGUUUGAUGUUCUAACGUUGACCCGUAAUCCGGGUUGCGGACAGUGUCUGGUGGGUAGUUUGACUGGGGCGGUCUCCUCCUAAAGAGUAACGGAGGAGCACGAAGGUUGGCUAAUCCUGGUCGGACAUCAGGAGGUUAGUGCAAUGGCAUAAGCCAGCUUGACUGCGAGCGUGACGGCGCGAGCAGGUGCGAAAGCAGGUCAUAGUGAUCCGGUGGUUCUGAAUGGAAGGGCCAUCGCUCAACGGAUAAAAGGUACUCCGGGGAUAACAGGCUGAUACCGCCCAAGAGUUCAUAUCGACGGCGGUGUUUGGCACCUCGAUGUCGGCUCAUCACAUCCUGGGGCUGAAGUAGGUCCCAAGGGUAUGGCUGUUCGCCAUUUAAAGUGGUACGCGAGCUGGGUUUAGAACGUCGUGAGACAGUUCGGUCCCUAUCUGCCGUGGGCGCUGGAGAACUGAGGGGGGCUGCUCCUAGUACGAGAGGACCGGAGUGGACGCAUCACUGGUGUUCGGGUUGUCAUGCCAAUGGCACUGCCCGGUAGCUAAAUGCGGAAGAGAUAAGUGCUGAAAGCAUCUAAGCACGAAACUUGCCCCGAGAUGAGUUCUCCCUGAC
rnacentral:rRNA from 1 species